rfam:Actinobacteria bacterium 13_1_20CM_3_68_9 13_1_20cm_3_scaffold_768, whole genome shotgun sequence.
GCCCGGAUAGCUCAGUUGGUAGAGCACCUCCAUGGUAAGGAGGGGGUCGUCGGUUCGAGUCCGACUCCGGGCU